rnacentral:tRNA from 1 species
GGGUAGCUAGUUUAGCGGUAGAAUGCCUUCCUGAUAAGAAGGAGAUGCUUGGUCCGACUCCAAGGCUACCCA